AUGUGUCAAUUGAUAUGUGAAGUACACAUCUCCUAUGUAGAAACAGAAAAUCCAGAGAGGGGAUCUGCUGGAGAAAAUACAAGCCUGCAAAACAUGGAACGGAAGGCUAGAAUAAGGAAGCAGCUCCUGGAACCUGAGUUGUUGCCAUCUUCCUACGACACCGCGUGGGUGGCUAUGGUGCCCUUGCCGGGCUCUCCUCAAGUUCCAUGCUUCCCGCAGUGUGUUGAGUGGAUCCUACAAAACCAGCAGAGCAAUGGAUCUUGGGGUCUCAUCCAAAUGGACUCCUCCAUCAACAAAGAUGUCCUCUCAUCCACAUUGGCUUGUGUGUUGGCACUUAAGAGGUGGAAUGUUGGCGGGGAGCUUAUCAGGAGAGGACUACAUUUCAUUGGAAGAAAUUUAUCGGCUGCUAUAGAUGAACAGAGUGCUACUCCUAUAGGCUUCAAUAUCACAUUUUCGGGUAUGCUUAGCCUUGGGAUUGAGAUGGGAUUGGAAUUUCCGGUUGGACAAAUUGAUGUUGAUAGGAUUCUUCACCUCCGGGAGGUGGAACUGAAAAGACUUAUUGGGGAUAAAUCUGAUGGGAGGAAAGCAUAUAUGGCUUAUUUCGCUGAAGGUCUAGGAAACCUGCUGGACUGGAAUCAAGUUAUGAAGUUCCAAAGGAAGAAUGGAUCGUUGUUCAACUCUCCUUCGACAACUGCUGCUGCAUUAAUCCACAAUUUUGAUGACAAAGCCCUGCAGUAUGUAAAAUUACUUGUAAGCAAAUUUGGUAGUUCAGAUUCUCUUGAAAAAAUCGGGAUAUCUCAGUAUUUUUCUAGUGAGAUAAAGAGCAUCCUGGAUGUGGCAUACAGUUUCUGGUUACAGAAAGAUGAGGAAAUCAUGUUAGAUGUAGCAGCAUGUGCAAUGGCAUUUCGUCUUUUGCGGAUGAAUGGAUAUGAUGUUUCCUCAGAUGAUCUGUAUCAUGUUGAUGAAACCACUUUCCACAACUCACUUCAGGGAUAUUUAAAUGAUACAAAAUCUAUAUUGGAACUAUACAAGGCUUCGGAGGUCAGUGUCUCAGAAAAUGAAUGUAUUCUAGAUAACAUAGGCGACUGGUCAGCCAGUUUAUUGACAGAAAAGUUGUUCUCCGACUGGGUGCAAACAACGCCACACUUUCAAGAGGUGGAGUAUGCUCUCAAAUUUCCCUUUUAUGCCACAAUGGAACGUCUAGACCACAAGAGGAACAUUGAACACUUUAAUGUGUGUGGUUCUCAGAUGCUAAAGGUAGAACAGUUGCCAUGUUGCGUCAACCAAGAUUUUCUGGCUUUGGCUAUUCAAGAUUUCGAUUUUUCUCAAUCUAUUUACCAGUAUGAACUCCUGCAUCUUGAAAGUUGGGCGAAAGAGAACCGGUUGGACCAGCUACAGUUUGCACGUCAGAAGCUGUCAUAUUGUUAUCUCGCUGCUGCUGCUACCAUAUUUCCUCCUGAACUGUCUGAUGCUCGCAUGUCAUGGUCAAAAAAUGGAGUGCUCACAACUGUUGUUGAUGAUUUCUUCGAUGUUGGAGGAUCACAAGAAGAACAUGAAAACCUCAUAGCAUUAGUUGAGAAGUGGGAUGAGCACUCCAAAGAUGAGUUCUACUCUGAGCAAGUGAAGAUAUUAUUUUGUGCUAUCUAUACUACAGUGAAUCAACUUGCAGCAGUGGCUUCUGCAGUACAAAACCGUGAUGUGCAAAAGCACCUGAUAGAAUUAUGGCUUCAGCUGUUGAGGUCUAUGAUGUCUGAGGCAGAAUGGCGGAUGAGGCAAUAUGUGCCAACAAUUGAGCAAUACAUGUCAAAUGCAGUUGUUUCAUUCACACUGGGGCCCACUGUGCUCACAUCAUUGUAUUUUAUCGGGGAAAAGAUCUCGGACUGCGUAGUCAAUGAUCAAGAAUACAAUGAGUUAUUUAGGCUAAUGAGCACUUGCGGUCGUCUUCUCAAUGAUAUCCAAGGCCUUGAGAGGGAGAGCAUGGAGGGAAACCUGGAUUAUGUUUCACUACUUGUUCUCCACAAUGGUGGUUCUUUGUCCAUUGAAACGGCUAAAGAAACGAUACGGAAGUCCAUAGCGUCAUGUAGAAAAGACUUGCUAAAGCUGGUUCUCAGGGAAGACACUGCUGUUCCUAGGCCGUGCAAGGAGCUGUUCUGGAAGAUGUGCAAGACAGUUCACUUGUUCUACUCCCAGACCGAUGGGUUUAGCUCGCCGAACGAAAUGGUGAGCGCGGUGAAUGCAGUUAUCAGCGAGCCACUAAAACCCCAGAUCAGAAACCCAUCGCUGGCCAUGCAAUCAGAAAAAUUA
rnacentral:rRNA from 1 species